rnacentral:lncRNA from 1 species
UGCAGUGCAAUUCUGUAAGGUAAUUUUUGAAACUCGCAUCUGAAUCCGCGGUGAGUUUUUGUUUUGGCAUUCUGUAAGACAUGUACUUAAGUUGAAUGCACACUAGCGACACAGUUGCGAGUACGGCAGCGAGUCGAACUAAAGUUGAUGCGAGAUUUUGACGUUUUUAGUAUGAGAUGACAGAUGUAUCCGCAUUCUGUAAGGGUGAUUCCCCGUUCACUUCGCUAUUCACUUCACUUACGAACUCGAUUUGAUCUGUCAAAUAAAAAGUUGAUGUUCGUCGAGUGAAAUCUAUACGUUUAUUAGUUAUUUGCUAGUGAUAUCGUGUCUAAUAAGACUCAAUAAGUUUCAAUUAAGGAAGCUCAUACUUUGGACAAUUUUGAGUUGCGUCGACAAGCCUAUGAAAUUCGUAGUUUGUCUCUAUUGACCCGAGAUGAUAACUAUGUCAGCGUAUAUAUUCUUUCGAAGCAAUUAAUCGACCAACUCGAGCUUGAGUUGCUCCCUAUAAUAAUAAAAAAGUACCAAACGUCGAAGAAAAGGACUUACAACUCGUAUUAAGGUUUCAUAAAAAAAUCAUCAUUGGCAGCAUUGAUGGCACUCUCGUAACUUAAAAAGACCGGCUGAGCAUGAAGAGCGCUUCUUCUGUCGUAAGAAUUAUCAUGCUAGGAUGUGCAAUUGAAUAAAUAUAUCAUGUGCAAUUGAUUACAGAUGACAGUUUUAUUUUUAAUGAAGAUGUAAGAGAUCACUUAGAGGCUUUGACAAAUGCUAGUGAAGAAAUUGUUUUGUUCGGUGGUUCUGGAUAUGCUGAGCGGGCUAACCUUAUGACACCUAUAAAUAAUGCCCCAGACAAUACUCCUGAAACAUAUUAUAACAUGCUUACGCAACUCCGUAGAACGCCAAAUGGUUUGUUGAAAAGACGCUUCAGGUGUUUGUUAGUACACAGGGUCCUAGACUAUCAUCCUGAUAAAGUUGCAAUGCAUGUUGUAUUCUGCAUAACGUGUUCAACCGGGCUGGAAUGGAGGUAGUUAAUUUGACUGAAGAUGAAAACCUAGAGGAAGCUCAGGUGGCAGCCGAGACACAGAGAAGGCAACGUGCCAAAUCAGUCUGCUAUUAACUUC